rnacentral:rRNA from 1 species
CCCUUAGAUGUUCUGGGCUGCACGCGCGCUACACUGAUGCGAUCAACAAGUUUUUCCUAUGUCGAUAGACACGGGUAAUCUUUUGAACUCGCAUCGUGAUGGGGAUAGAUUAUUGUAAUUAUUAAUCUUCAACGAGGAAUUCCUAGUAGGUGCAAAUCAUCAGUUUGCAUCGAUUACGUCCCUGCCCUUUGUACACACCGCCCGUCGCUGCUACCGAUUGGUUGAUCUGGUGAAUUAUUCGGACUGCCGGUUGAAGGGGUUUCCUCAUCUGCCAGCGGAAAGUCUUGUUAACCCUAUCAACUAGAGGAAGCAGAAGUCGUAACA